AUUUAUCUAAUAUAAUAAGUAUAUUUGACUUCCAAUCAAAAAGUUUGCUAUGCAAGAUAAAUA
rnacentral:tRNA from 1 species